UGCAAAACUGAUUUGAAGCCUCCUUAGUUGUAGAGAAAACUCAAGUUCCCACACAAAUCCUUCAUCCUUUCUUCUCUUUAGAAGCUCCCUUUGUUUUUCUUAAAGAAGUCCAAGCUUGAAUUCAAGACCAAAAUCUUCACCUCACCCCUGAGUUUCUUAAGUAACGAGUAGACGCUUGGGGAAAGUGGGGUGAUUCUCUAAAUAAAUGAAUGUUUUAUUUUCUACUACUAUUUCAAGAAAAAUAAUGUAAUAUAUUUUUGUUCAACUUCAGUAUUGUAAAAAUAAUAAUUUCAAUUCCGAAUAAAAGUA